AAUCCAUGUUGUCAGCAGCGUCGAAACAAAUCUUUAAACAUUUCCUGAGCUUCAUAGAGUGAUUCAAAAUUAUUUUGUUUGAAUUGACUAAUCUCACUCCUGAGUUG